rnacentral:rRNA from 1 species
AACGAACGCGUGGCGGCAUGCCUAACACAUGCAAGUCGGAACGAGGACCUUCGGGUCUAGUGGCGCACGGGUGCGUAACGCGUGGGAAUCUGCCCUUGGGUUCGGAAUAACAGCGAGAAAUUGCUGCUAAUACCGGAUGAUGACGUAAGUCCAAAGAUUUAUCGCCCAAGGAUGAGCCCGCGUAGGAUUAGCCUAGUUGGUGAGGUAAAGGCCUCACCAAGGCGACGAUCCUUAGCUGGUCUGAGAGGAUGAUCAGCCACACUGGGACUGAGACACGGCCCAGACUCCUACGGGAGGCAGCAGUGGGGAAUGUUGGACAAUGGGCGAAAGCCUGAUCCAGCAAUGCCGCGUGAGUGAUGAAGGCCUUA